AAGCUCGUAGUUGAAUUUCGGGGUUAGUAGGUUGGUCAUGCCUCUGGUAUGUACUGGUCUCACUGAUUCCUCCUUCCUUAUGAACCGUAAUGCCAUUAAUUUGGUGUUGCGGGGAAUUUGGACUGUUACUUUGAAAAAAUUAGAGUGUUUAAAGCAAGCUAACGCUUGAAUACAUUAGCAUGGAAUAAUGAAAUAGGACGUUCGAUCUUAUUUUGUUUGGUUUCCUUAGGAUUGACGUAAUGAUUAAUAGGGAUAGUUGGG
rnacentral:rRNA from 1 species